rnacentral:rRNA from 1 species
AUUGAACGCUGGCGGCAGGCCUAACACAUGCAAGUCGAGCGAGCGGCGGACGGGUGAGAAAUGUCUGUGAAACUGCCUGAUGUAGGGGGAUAACAACUGGAAACGGUGGCUAAUACCGCAUACCAUCAGAGUUGCCCAGAUGGGAUUAGGGGGUAGGUGGGGUAACGGCUCACCUAGGCGACGAUCCCUAGCUGGUCUGAGAGGAUGACCAGCCACACUGGAACUGAGACACGGUCCAGACUCCUACGGGAGGCAGCAGUGGGGAAUAUUGCGCAAUGGGCGCAAGCCUGAUGCAGCCAUGCCGCGUGUGUGAAGAAGGCCUUCGGGUUGUAAAGCACUUUCAGCGGGGAGGCGUUACCCGCAGAAGAAGCACCGGCUAACUCCGUGCCAGCAGCCGCGGUAAUAC